UACGUAGGUGGCAAGCGUUGUCCGGAUUUACUGGGCGUAAAGAGCGCGCAGGCGGUCGUUCAAGUCGCGUGUGAAAGCCCCCGGCUCAACUGGGGAGGGUCACGCGAUACUGAUCGACUCGAAGGCAGGAGAGGGUAGUGGAAUUCCCGGUGUAGUGGUGAAAUUCGUAGAUAUCGGGAGGAACACCAGCGGCGAAGGCGGCGACCUGGGUGGAUACUGACGCUGAGGUGCGAAAGCGUGGGGAGCAAACAGG
rnacentral:rRNA from 1 species